rnacentral:lncRNA from 12 species
UUAAGAGUUGCAGUGGCUGGUAGAAGCAACAGAAACUAAAAGGGAGGUUGGCUCAGAGUAAAGGUCCAGGCAUUGCUGUUUGCUAGGCUGUACUGCCUUCUUAAAGAACAACGCUCAGAUAUGCCAAUGGAAAGGUGGAAGAAUGACCUGUGUGACUGACCAAACCAAGCCUCA